CCCCAGUGCCAGGGGGCACUGCCAGGGCCACAGUGCGGGCCAGGGGAGCAGCUCCAGGAGUUCCUGACCGCGGGUAUCAAGGUGCUGAAGCAGGCAGAGCACCUGAUGGCAUCCAGGAUCACCCUGCUGAACCCUCAGCAUGGGUUUGGAUUCCGGGGGAAAAGCUCCUCUUUGCUCCUCGGCCUCCUGCAGGAGGUGAACGACGAGCUCCGAAGUC